UCCAUGUAAAUGAAGAUGGAGAGUAAAUAGACGUGGAAAUUUUGAAAUUGGGCUGGCACGCUAAUCAGAGGCAGACGGGAGACACCAAUCAGUCUUCCAGGACGGAGACCGGGCACAUCCAAUGGCACUUCUUAUUUCCAUUCUCCACGCUCGUAAAUCCUGUCAGCUCCCUCACACAUAGACAGCGGCUGCAUUUCACGCUGUUCUCUGAGCCACAAUCAGCAGAGCCACAGUCUCUGUGGCUGGAGGAGAGGAGAGAGGGAAUGAGACAGAGGGAGAGAGAUUUAUGUUUUUUUUUUAUUCGGAUCCCCAUUAGCUGUUAAAGAAGCAGCAGCUAUUCUUCCUGGCAUCCACACAAAACAUAGGACAAAAUACAGAACACUAAUGGACUUGAGGAAAACAGCUGCAGUGCAGCAAGGCAGUUUGAUGGCACUGGGUCUGACUCCCAUCAUGGUAUCACUCUGCACAAAACCAAUAUCAGCAUCAACAGCACUUUGGCUAUACCGUAAACCAUUCUCUCUGCAACUCCUCUGAUUCCUCACGAGGCCAAGACUAACACACACACACUCUACUCUACUCUGGAGUGGCACAUUUGGAGUGGCUGACCAGCGAGGAGCAGAGAAGUGUUAAUGCUGUCGGGGAGGAGAAAGGCUGAGCCCUGAGUGGUUUGUUGUCUCCCUCUGUGAAUUACACAUUCUGUUGACAGUAGAUGGGAUUCUGCCAUCUGAAGAAUUACAGCUGUACAUAGGGAUGUCAAGUGCCACUCAGCGAGGAGUCUCCACUAUGAUUGCAAUCAAUAUCGGUUAAAGUGGAGGUUAACAGCACAGUGACUGUCAGUAGUUUAAGCUGGUUGGUUAUUGGCAUCGUAUCUGUGAACUAUUGACACAUAAUUUCCCUUCCCACAGAUUCCCUCCGAGAGGCUCUUAGUAACUUGAAGCAGAUAACACAAAAGUUCAAUUUCAAUCAAAAGUACUGCAAAGCAACACAAAAUAUAUAAGUAGUUUACGCUUUUUGCUUUCAUAUUAACAACUAUUUCCACAAAGAAAACAAAGAGAAUUAGAGAAACCUAGGAGAUUCCGCAAAAAUAUGAGCAAGGAAGAUAUCAGCAACCCAAAACUGAUUCAGAUUGCUACCAUAUAGAGGACAAAACUAUAAGAAUAGCUAUAAAUAUAGUUGUUUCUGGGGAAUUUGUAAGGGAAAAUAUAUCCAAAGCGUUCCUUAUAAUUUGGUCAGUAUAUCCCAACCACAACUGAAAUAACAAUUUCUGUAUUACUUGAAACUGUUGGUCAGUUCAGAAAGUAACCACGCCUGACAAUUUUAUGCAGAACCACUGUGUGAAAGUCAGUUCUGGAUCUGUUCAGUUCGAUUGAACGUUUCUACAUUGUAUAAUGUCUUGUACUGAACAACACAUUUCCCCAAAACACUUUUCAACAUUCUUGAACAGACUUUGAGGUAGCUUACGUUUGCUCCAUUUGGUGGGUGUGGCGGGGUGUGGCUUGAAGCAAUGAGUGGCGUACUUGAAGCGCAGUGAUACAUUUUGAACCCACAACCCACCCCUCCCCAUUUUUCAACUGGUCAUUCAACAGCACUGUUUCCAUUUCAUUUAACCUUGCAUUACAUUUUUUCGAACUGAACGCAGCCCUGGUGACUUUUCUACUCCAAAAUGUAUGGUGGCACCAUUCAAAUAUAAUUUUCCCCUCCAAAAAAUGUUCCUAACUGAUUUAGUUUAGUAGCUAUAACUAAAUAGGCUGAAGCAUCGGGUUGCCCAUCUGUAUUUGUGCUAAUCAUUAGCUAGAUCAAUGCAUCUCAAACUUUUUCAGUCAUGGCCACCUUUCAUCAUGGUGGAACAUUCUAUGCCCCCUGACAUCCCUCAAUUAAAUGAACUGCAACUAAUGUUACACAAAAAUUAAGUAUAAGAAUACCUUUUAUUCAACCAAAAACAGUAUAUACAAACACCAGUAUCUGGUUUCCCUUCCAUAUUGAAAUAAAAACAACUAUUCAUGAAGGAGAAAUAAACCUGCUUACUGCUGUGCAAUAUCACAUCCAUCUCUAUCAAUAAAGGCUAUUGUCAUGACUCUCCUAUGAUGAUCCAAAAGAUCAGAUUGCAGUGGAUCAGUUCUACAGAGUUAUAUCUCCCACAGAGGGGGGAGGGAUGGAUGUGGAGUUUUUAUAAACCAUAGGCAGCUGACAAUUCCUUUUGGGGUCUAGUUUGGGUGAUUGGAAUGUCUGUGUGCCUUAUGAAGAGUUUGCUGGCCAAAAACUACAACAUCAAACAAUGGACACUGGAACAACAUAUUUCAACAUCUUAAUUUUAUUAAACAAUUAAUGUCUAUUUUGUGAAAGUAGCAUGAAGACGUUGUAAUGAAAACUUUGUAACUUGAAGAGUUUUCAUACCGUGUAUAUCAUGUUUACAUACUUUACGUUGCAUGGAAAAUAUAUAGGAUGAAGAGAAUGUUUUGUUGACAAUAAGAUUGUGAUUUUAGUUCUCUAACGAGAUCAUAUUAAAUUGUGAAACCUUGCCUCGUAACUAGCCACGCCCCAGGGAACCCAGAGAGCGUGUCAACAUGAUGUAAACGCCCCCUUUUAUAAAGCAUUUGAGUUAAGAAUUCAUUUGG